GCUUAGCCCCGAUUGCAACGGCAUCCUUUUUCUUUUUACUUUAAAAAGAAAAAGAUAAAGUGGAAAGCGGGAAAUAGC
rnacentral:sRNA from 1 species